rnacentral:rRNA from 1 species
GACGAACGCUGGCGGCGUGCUUAACACAUGCAAGUCGAACGGAAAGGCCUAGCUUGCUGGGUACUCGAGUGGCGAACGGGUGAGUAACACGUGGGUGAUCUGCCCCUGACUUUGGGAUAAGCCUGGGAAACUGGGUCUAAUACCGGAUAUUCAUUUUUCCUCGCUUGGGGAUUUGUGGAAAGCUUUUGCGGUUGGGGAUGGGCCCGCGGCCUAUCAGCUUGUUGGUGGGGUAAUGGCCUACCAAGGCGACGACGGGUAGCCGACCUGAGAGGGUGAUCGGCCACACUGGGACUGAGACACGGCCCAGACUCCUACGGGAGGCAGCAGUGGGGAAUAUUGCACAAUGGGCGCAAGCCUGAUGCAGCGACGCCGCGUGAGGGAUGACGGCCUUCGGGUUGUAAACCUCUUUCAGCUCCGACGAAGCGCAAGUGACGGUAGGAGCAGAAGAAGCACCGGCCAACUACGUG